rnacentral:rRNA from 1 species
UCCCAGACUCCUACGGGAGGCAGCAGUGAGGAAUAUUGGUCAAUGGGCGGGAGCCUGAACCAGCCAAGCCGCGUGAGGGAAGAAGGUACAGCGUAUCGUAAACCUCUUUUGUCAGGGAACAAAGGCGGGGACUAGUCCCCGGAUGAGGGUACCUGAAGAAAAAGCAUCGGCUAACUCCGUGCCAGCAGCCGCGGUAAUACGGAGGAUGCGAGCGUUAUCCGGAUUCACUGGGUGUAAAGGGAGCGUAGACGGCGACGCAAGUCUGGAGUGAAAGCCCGGGGCCCAACCCCGGGACUGCUCUGGAGACUGCGGCGCUGGAGUACGGGAGGGGCAGGCGGAAUUCCUGGUGUAGCGGUGAAAUGCGUAGAUAUCAGGAGGAACACCGGCGGCGAAGGCGGCCUGCUGGACCGUGACUGACGUUGAGGCUCGAGAGCGUGGGGAGCAAACAGGAUUAGAUACCCCGGUA